rnacentral:rRNA from 1 species
UACGUAGGGACCGAGCGUUGUCCGGAAUCAUUGGGCGUAAAGAGCGUGUAGGCGGCCACUUAAGUCCUGCGUGAAAUCUUGCGGCUCAACCGCAAGCGGUCGUGGGAAACUGGGUGGCUAGAGUGCGGGAGAGGAGAGUGGAAUUCCUGGUGUAGCGGUGGAAUGCGCAGAUAUCAGGAAGAACACCGAUGGCGAAGGCAGGUCUCUGGGCAUUAACUGACGCUGAGGAGCGAAAGCAUGGGGAGCGAACAGG